rnacentral:rRNA from 1 species
AACGAACGCUGGCGGCGCGCCUAACACAUGCAAGUCGAACGAGAAUCCGGGGCAACCCGGUAGUAAAGUGGCAAACGGGUGAGGAAUACAUGGGUAACCUACCCUUGAGAAGGGAAUAACCCGCCGAAAGGUGAGCUAAUACCCUAUACGCUAUCUUUUUUCGAAAGGAUAGGAAAGCCGGGUCGAGGACCUGGUACUCAAGGAGGGGCUCAUGUCCUAUCAGCUUGUUGGUGGGGUAACGGCCUACCAAGGCUACGACGGGUAGCUGGUCUGAGAGGAUGAUCAGCCACACUGGCACUGAGAUACGGGCCAGACUCCUACGGGAGGCAGCAGUGAGGAAUAUUGCGCAAUGGGCGAAAGCCUGACGCAGCGACGCCGCGUGGGGGAUGAAGGUUUUCGGAUUGUAAACCCCUUUCAUGAGGAAAGAUAAAACGUGGGUAACCACUUAAGACGGUAACCUCAAGAAGAAGCCACGGCUUAACUCGUGCCAGCAGCCGCGGUUAAUGUCGUACGAU